UUACAAGAAACAUACUCCUUCAAAGUAUUACUACAAGUCACCUGUUCCUUCAAAGAAUUACUAUAAGUCACCAGCUCCUUCAAAACACUACUACAAGGCACCAGUUGCAACCAAGUAUUACAAGUCACCUGCUCCCUCAAAGCAUUAUUACAAGUCACCUGCUCCCACAAAGUAUUAUUACAAGUCCUCAACUCCUUCAAAACACUACUACAAGGCACCGGUUGCAACCAAGUAUUACAAGUCACCUGCUCCCUCAAAGCAUUAUUACAAGUCACCUGCUCCCACAAAGUAUUAUUACAAGUCCCCAACUCCUUCAAAGUACUACUACAAGUCCCCGUCGCCAGCAAAGUACUACAAGUCGCCUACAACUUAUAAUUCACCACCUCCACCAAAAACCUAUGAACAUUCGCCAUCAUAUUACUCACCUC
rnacentral:lncRNA from 1 species